rnacentral:rRNA from 1 species
AACGAACGCUGGCGGCAGGCUUAACACAUGCAAGUCGAACGGGUGUAGCAAUACAUCAGUGGCAGACGGGUGAGUAACACGUGGGAACCUUCCUAGGGGUACGGAACAACUCAGGGAAACUUGAGCUAAUACCGUAUACGUCCGUGAGGAGAAAGAUUUAUCGCCCUUAGACGGGCCCGCGUCGGAUUAGCUAGUUGGUGGGGUAACGGCCUACCAAGGCGACGAUCCGUAGCUGAUCUGAGAGGAUGAUCAGCCACACUGGGACUGAGACACGGCCCAGACUCCUACGGGAGGCAGCAGUGGGGAAUCUUGGACAAUGGGCGCAAGCCUGAUCCAGCCAUGCCGCGUGAGUGAAGAAGGCCUUAGGGUUGUAAAGCUCUUUUGGCAGGGACGAUAAUGACGGUACCUGCAGAAUAAGCCCCGGCAAACUUCGUGCCAGCCGCCGCCGUAACAC